rnacentral:rRNA from 1 species
GACGAACGCUGGCGGCGUGCCUAAUACAUGCAAGUCGAACGAGAGCGACCGGUGCUUGCACUGGUCAAUCUAGUGGCGAACGGGUGAGUAACACGUGGGUAACCUGCCCAUCAGAGGGGGAUAACAUCCGGAAACGGAUGCUAAAACCGCAUAGGUCUUCGAACCGCAUGGUUUGAAGAGGAAAAGAGGCGCAAGCUUCUGCUGAUGGAUGGACCCGCGGUGCAUUAGCUAGUUGGUGAGGUAACGGCUCACCAAGGCCGUGAUGCAUAGCCGACCUGAGAGGGUGAUCAGCCACAUUGGGACUGAGACACGGCCCAAACUCCUACGGGAGGCAGCAGUAGGGAAUCUUCCGCAAUGGACGCAAGUCUGACGGAGCAACGCCGCGUGAGUGAAGAAGGUUUUCGGAUCGUAAAACCCUGUUGUUAGAGAAGAACAAGUGCUAGAGUAACUGUUAGCGCCUUGACGGUAUCUAACCAGAAAGCCACGGCUAACUACGUG